UGCAGUCGAGCGGAACGAGUUAACUGAACCUUCGGGGGACGUUAACGGCGUCGAGCGGCGGACGGGUGAGUAAUGCCUGGGAAAUUGCCCUGAUGUGGGGGAUAACCAUUGGAAACGAUGGCUAAUACCGCAUAAUAGCUUCGGCUCAAAGAGGGGGACCUUCGGGCCUCUCGCGUCAGGAUAUGCCCAGGUGGGAUUAGCUAGUUGGUGAGGUAAUGGCUCACCAAGGCGACGAUCCCUAGCUGGUCUGAGAGGAUGAUCAGCCACACUGGAACUGAGACACGGUCCAGACUCCUACGGGAGGCAGCAGUGGGGAAUAUUGCACAAUGGGCGCAAGCCUGAUGCAGCCAUGCCGCGUGUGUGAAGAAGGCCUUCGGGUUGUAAAGCACUUUCAGUCGUGAGGAAGGUAGUGUAGUUAAUAGCUGCAUUAUUUGACGUUAGCUACAGAAGAAGCACCGGCUAACUCCGUGCCAGCAGCCGCGGUAAUACGGAGGGUGCGAGCGUUAAUCGGAAUUACUGGGCGUAAAGCGCAUGCAGGUGGUUAGUUAAGUCAGAUGUGAAAGCCCGGGGCUCAACCUCGGAACUGCAUUUGAAACUGGCUGACUAGAGUACUGUAGAGGGGGGUAGAAUUUCAGGUGUAGCGGUGAAAUGCGUAGAGAUCUGAAGGAAUACCGGUGGCGAAGGCGGCCCCCUGGACAGAUACUGACACUCAGAUGCGAAAGCGUGGGGAGCAAACAGGAUUAGAUACCCUGGUAGUCCACGCCGUAAACGAUGUCUACUUGGAGGUUGUGGCCUUGAGCCGUGGCUUUCGGAGCUAACGCGUUAAGUAGACCGCCUGGGGAGUACGGUCGCAAGAUUAAAACUCAAAUGAAUUGACGGGGGCCCGCACAAGCGGUGGAGCAUGUGGUUUAAUUCGAUGCAACGCGAAGAACCUUACCUACUCUUGACAUCCAGAGAACUUAGCAGAGAUGCUUUGGUGCCUUCGGGAACUCUGAGACAGGUGCUGCAUGGCUGUCGUCAGCUCGUGUUGUGAAAUGUUGGGUUAAGUCCCGCAACGAGCGCAACCCUUAUCCUUGUUUGCCAGCACUUCGGGUGGGAACUCCAGGGAAACUGCCGGUGAUAAACCGGAAGAAGGUG
rnacentral:rRNA from 1 species